UGAGGCCCUUUACCCAAAGAGGGUGCUAGGCCCGUAGAACAUUAAUGAUUGUUAGUGGACAUUUCCAAAGAGUCGUGUUGCUUGAUAAUGCAGCACUAAGUGGGUGGUAAACUCCAUCUAAAACUAAAUAUAGCCAUGAGACCGAUAGUAAACAAGUACCGUGAGGGAAAGUUGAAAAGAACUCUGAAUAGAGAGUUAAAUAGUACGUGAAACUGCUUAGAGGUUAAACCCGAUGAACCUGAAUAUCCAUUAUGGAAAAUUCAUCAUUAUGAUUAUGAUAUUAUUAUUUUUUAAUUAAAGUAAUACAUAUUGUAAUAAUGGUGUGCAUUUUUUCCAUAUAAGGACAUUGUAAUCUAUUAACAGAAUGAUGAAAUAUUAUUAAAAGAUUAAUGGCGGUAUAAGUUUAAAUUGACCUAUUUUGUUUAUACAUGAUAGGAUUUAAUUUAAAUGCCAUUAAUUCUAAUAAAUUGUUGAUAGAUUUAUAUUAUAUAUGGUGCUUAAAUAAAUGGUAUAUAUAUUUUAUAGUGACCUUGGAUAUGAUAUAUAAAUGGUCAUUAUACGCACCUAAUAUGAUUUACAAUGCGAAAGAUUCAGGAUACCCUCGGGACCCGUCUUGAAACACGGACCAAGGAGUCUAACAUAUAUGCAAGUUAUUGGUAUUUGGAAAAACUAAUAGCGCAAUUAACAUGAUAUAUAUAAAUAAAAUGGGAUUAAUUUUUAGUACUUUUAAUUAAGUAUUAAUUAUUCAAUCCUGGGGCGUUCCAUUAAAGUCAUGUAUAAUAAUAUUUAUAUUAUUUAUGCCUCUGACUGGAACGUACCUUGAGCAUAUAUGCUGUGACCCGAAAGAUGGUGAACUAUACUUGAUCAGGUUGAAGUCAGGGGAAACCCUGAUGGAAGACCGAAACAGUUUUGACGUGCAAAUCGAUCGUCAGAAUUGAGUAUAGGGGCGAAAGACUAAUCGAACCAUCUAGUAGCUGGUUCCUUCCGAAGUUUCCCGCAGGAUAGCUGGUGCAUGGAAAAUUUCGGAAAAAUAAUCUUAUCUGGUAAAGCGAAUGAUUAGAGGCAUUAGGAUCGAAACGAUCUUAACCUAUUCUCAAACUUUAAAUGGGUAAAAACCUCACCUUUCUUGAUAAUGAAGGUUGUGGUUAUGAUAUAAUGUGCCCAGUGGGCCACUUUUGGUAAGCAGAACUGGCGCUGUGGGAUGAACCAAACGUAAUGUUACGGUGCCCAAAUUAAUAACUCAUGCAGAAACCAUGAAAGGCGUUGGUUGCUUAAAACAGCAGGACGGUGGACAUGGAAGUCGUAAUCCGCUAAGGAGUGUGUAACAACUCACCUGCCGAAGCAACUAGCCCUUAAAAUGGAUGGCGCUAAAGUUAUAUACCUAUACAUUACCGCUAAAGUGAAUGGCUUAUGUUCGAUUUAAUUAUCGAAUUAAUAAGUUUUGAAACUUUAGUGAGUAGGAAGGUACGAUGGUGUGCAUAGAAGUGUUUGGCGUAAGCCUGCAUGGAGCCGCCAUUGGUACAGAUCUUGGUGGUAGUAGCAAAUAAUCGAAUGAGACCUUGGAGGACUGAAGUGGAGAAGGGUUUCGUGUGAACAGUGGUUGAUCACGAGUUAGUCGGUCCUAAGUUCAAAGCGAAAGCUGAAAAUUUUCAAGUUAAAUGAAUAUAUAUAAUAGAAUAUGAAAUGAUACACUUGAAAAUUAAUUGAACGAAAGGGAAUACGGUUCCAAUUCCGUAACCUGUUGAGUAUCCGUUUGUUUAUUAAAUGUGGGCCUUGUGCUCAUCCUGGUAACAGGAACGACCAUAAAGAAGCCGUCGAGAGAUAUCGGAAGAGUUUUCUUUUCUGUUUUAUAGUCGUAUUACCAUGGAAGUCUUUCGAAGAGAGAUAUGGUAAAUGGACUAGAAGAGCAUGACAUUUACUGUUGUGUCGAUAUUUUCUCCUCGGACCUUGAAAAUUUAUGGUGGGGUCACGCAAACUUCUCAACAGGCCGUACCAAUAUCCGCAGCUGGUCUC
rnacentral:rRNA from 1 species